CCUGCAAUCAAAACAAUUAACAUGGUCGAUCCGAUCUGCGCGAAAGUCAUCCAAACAACAAAAAUAUUUGCUCAUCAAAGCACCUGUGCAGAUUUAACGGGAUAUAAUCACUUGUUUACCAACACUGAAUGAUCAUAAGCAAGCUCGUACUCGUAUUCAAGGUAUAGUAAUCAUAAGGUAAGGUUGGGGUGCACAUGUUUAUACAGGAAGCCAUGCAGAUCGGCACGUACCACCUUUACUAAUAAUACCCUGCUUAGCGGUGAUUACCUUUUUUACUUUUGGCGGUACGAACCUUUGUCGUUAAACAAACACUAAUAAAAUUUAAUGAACUUGCUGCUGCCCUGCUUUACCUAAUUUUAUGUUUAAUAACUAAGUUGUUUAGCUUCUAUUCCGAAUACGGGGAGCUCAAAUUAUGCAAAGUUAUUCUAGAGUGCGUCUUUGGGUUGUUUUGACGCGUUUAAAUGAGAAAUGGAGUCCUCUGAGAUAUCUUGCGUGGACUAAAACACGUAUGUAACUUAGGUGUGGUGACUGGCGAGAAUCACAUGAAUACGCCCCCAAUCGAUGACACAGAGACGCCCCCGUGAAUGGACUCACUUGCCAGCCAGCAGCACAAUCACAUUGGAAGGCCCUGUAUUCGUCGUAGCAGGUACCUCCGUUCUGGCAUGGGCUCGACAGACACUCGUCCUUGGCCAGAAAGACUAGUAUUCUCGCCAGAGUGGUCGAAACACGCUCUACCCGCUGGAGCUGCCGUCGCAGGACCCGCUGGUUAAGUC